GAGUGCAGUGGUGUGAUCUUGGCUCACUGAAACCUCUGCCUACUGGGCUUAAGUGGCCCUCCCACCUCACCCUCCCAAGUAGCUGGGACCACAGGCACAUGCCACCACACCCGGCUAAUUUUUGUAUUUUUGGUAGAGAUGGGGUUUUGCCUUGUUGCCCAGGCUGGUCUCACCUAAGCUCAAAUGAACCACCCACCUCUGCCUCCUAAAAUGCUGGGAUUACAGGCGUGAGCCACUGCACCUGCCAAAAUUCUUAAUUUCAGUGUAAAUUCGUUUCCUAGGGCUUCCACAACAAGUUACCAAACCCUGGGUGGCUUAAAACAACAGGAUUUCAGGUUCUCGUCAUCUGGAGGUCUGAAGUCUGGAGUCAAGGAAUCAGCACGGCUCUGCUCCCUCCGAAGGCUCCAGGAGAGAACCUUUCUUUGCUUCUUCCAGCAUCCGGUGGCUGCAGGCAUUCCCUGGCUUGUGGCAAAGUGUCUGGUGCAACAGCAGAGUGGAAAGAGAAUGUGUGGAUCAGACAUACCUGGGUGGAAACUGACUUUACCAACGACUGGCUGGCUGCAAGACCUUGGCGAUUAUCCUUAACCUAGCCUCAGUCUCAACCUGUGACACGGCAAUGGCAGCUUAGCGAGGUUAAGCUACUUGAGUCACACCCUUGUCAGGUGGAGGAGCUGAACCUUGGAUGCAGAAGUAUCCGUUUCUACUGUCUGAACUCUUCCUAACUGCUUUGGAAUAACAGAAUGAGGAAAUGCACCCAACGGGAAUUUUGCGUUCACCAUUACCUGCAAAAUGUCGGUGGCUAAUCCCAGCUUUGGCUGACUGUCCUGAUAUCCAGAGCAAUGGUUCCUAAAUUUUGGUCCAUGGUCCAGUGCCAGCUUAGGACCAAGGAAUCACCAGUCUUUGAUGUGAGGAAAAUAAGAACAUAAAAUUGGCCAAGCGUGGUGGCUCAUGGCUGUAAUCCCAACAAUUUGGGAGGCCGAGGCGGGCAGAUCACCUGAGGUCGGGAAUUCAAGACCAGCCUGACCAACAUGGUGAAACCCCAUCUCUACUAAAAAUACAAAAAUUAGCUGGGCAUGGUCGCGCAUGCCUGUAAUCCCAGCUACUUAGGAGGCUGAGGCAGGAGAAUCACUUGAACCCGGGAGAUGGAGGUUGCAGUGAGCUGAGAUCACACCACUGCACUCCAGCCUGGGUGACAGAGCGAGACUCCAUCUCAAAACAAACAAACAAACAACAAACAAAAAACCCAUAAAAUUAAAUGUAUUAAAUUAAAGAACUGCCUUAACUAGGAGAUCAUGUUCAUUCAUUUUUGAGAGUCAAGUGACCCUUCCUUUCAUGAAAUAAUGGUGAUACCCUGAGGUCAGGAGUUCAAGACCAGCCUGGCCAACAUGGUGAAACCCUGUCUCUACUAAAAAUACAGAAAUUAGCCGUGUGUGGUGGCAGGUGCCUGUAAUCGCAGCUACUCGGGAGGCUGAGGCAGGAGAAUCUCUUGAACCUGGGAGAGGGGGUGUUGCAGUGAGCCAAGAUCACACCACUGCACUCCAGCCUAGGCAACAGAGCGAAACUCCAUCUCAAAAAUAAAUAAAUAAAUAAAUAAAUAAAUAAAAUAAUGGUGAUAGGAAUUCGUAGUUUUGUUGUUGUUGUUAUUUUUGUUUUUAAGUGCUCUUACUUGGCAAAAUAAACUUAUCAUACUGAGUUGAAAUCCCACUUUUUAAAGAUUGCUGUGGAAUCCCAAUGCCUGAGAAUGAUUGCUAUGGAGAAAGGAGGAAGUAAUA